rnacentral:rRNA from 1 species
AGAGUUUGAUCCUGGCUCAGAACGAACGCUGGCGGUAUGCUUAACACAUGCAAGUCGAACGAAUUGGAUAGCUUCGGUUAUUCAGUUAGUGGCAGACGGGUGAGUAACGCGUGGGAAUGUACCCUUUAGUUCAGAAUAACUACGGGAAACUGUAGCUAAUACUGGAUACGCCCUUUUUGGGGAAAGAUUUAUCGCUAAAGGAACAGCCCGCGUUAGAUUAGGUAGUUGGUGAGGUAACGGCUCACCAAGCCGACGAUCUAUAGCUGGUUUGAGAGGAUGAUCAGCCACACUGGGACUGAGACACGGCCCAGACUCCUACGGGAGGCAGCAGUGGGGAAUAUUGGACAAUGGGGGCAACCCUGAUCCAGCAAUACCGCGUGAGUGAAGAAGGCCUUCGGGUUGUAAAGCUCUUUUACCGGGGAAGAUGAUGACGGUACCCGGGGAAUAAGCUCCGGCUAACUUCGUGCCAGCCGCCGCGGUAAUAC